CAAGACCUUGCGCUCUUGGAGCGGCCGAUGUCUGAUUAGCUAGUUGGUGAGGUAAAGGCUUACCAAGGCGACGAUCGGUAGCUGGUCUGAGAGGACGACCAGCCACACUGGGACUGAGACACGGCCCAGACUCCUACGGGAGGCAGCAGUGGGGAAUUUUGGACAAUGGGGGAAACCCUGAUCCAGCCAUGCCGCGUGAGUGAAGAAGGCCUUCGGGUUGUAAAGCUCUUUCAGCCGGAACGAAACGGUCACGGCUAAUACCUGUGAUCACUGACGGUACCGGAAGAAGAAGCACCGGCUAACUACGUGCCAGCAGCCGCGGUAAUACGUAGGGUGCAAGCGUUAAUCGGAAUUACUGGGCGUAAAGCGUGCGCAGGCGGUUUUGUAAGUCAGAUGUGAAAUCCCCGGGCUUAACCUGGGAACU
rnacentral:rRNA from 1 species